AGUGCGUGGGAGGUGGGUGUGGCGAAAAGACAGAUAAGUAGGGUUAGGUUAGAGAUCUGAUAAACAGGUGGUAUCUUGUGAGAGUUUGCUCUACUGGUAUCAAUCGAUCGCCGUGGCUUAUCAGGAGAUCCGAAUACUUUCCACUGGCUAGCCACCGCAAGUUAUUGAUAAGGUUCACGAAACGUCUCGGUGUUUGGCGAGAUUCUCAGCUGAACGGCUUUUUGGGCGAGGAUGGGAUGGCUCAACCGGUUUCGUGCAUUCACACGUUUAUUCUUAAAGUCGGUUAUUGUUGCUAAUAUAUGUACAUAGCUGUUUCGUAUUUUUGAGGCUGAGUGCGUGCCUCACAAACUGCGCAGCAGCUACGCCUCUUCAGGUAUAUAUGUAUUAAAUGGAUAACACACGCGAGCGGCCUUAAAUCAAUGUCAUUGUUAGGCAAGCGGUUGCAUCAAAGCAUCUUGGCGAAUCCGCUUACAUAACCCAGAACAGGCGGCAGCUCACACUCAACAUACAUACAUAUGUAGAUAUCUUAAAAAUUUCAAUAAACUAUCUGACAACCCUCCGAUGGAUCGGAUAA
rnacentral:sRNA from 1 species